CUCAGAAAAAGUAGCUGCAUUGACAGAGAUGACAGCCAGAUUGACUUGCGUCCUUCUCCACGGUACAGUAGGUGUUCACCAUUACAAGACCAUUGUGGUGUGAAACCCUCAGAAACAGAAGAAUGUACCUCACAUUUAAUGGUAGAAUCUACUAGGAUAGAUGCUGGUGUCCUUGAUGGCUCAUCUACUUCAUGUGUUGAUGGGGCAACCAAUGGAGCAAGGAAACGUAAGCGUAAGAGUCGAUGGGAUCAAGAGG
rnacentral:misc_RNA from 1 species